rnacentral:miRNA from 1 species
UGUAGUCUGGAUUGAAGAGAUGACCCAGGCAGGCUUUGUGUGAGCAGUUAGGCUGUUUAUUCACUUGGGCGCGAGCUCACAUAAAGCCUGCUUGGGUCGUCUCUUCAAUCCAG